GAUGAACGCUGGCGGCGUGCCUAAUACAUGCAAGUCGAGCGAACAGACGAGGAGCUUGCUCCUCUGACGUUAGCGGCGGACGGGUGAGUAACACGUGGAUAACCUACCUAUAAGACUGGGAUAACUUCGGGAAACCGGAGCUAAUACCGGAUAAUAUAUUGAACCGCAUGGUUCAAUAGUGAAAGACGGUUUUGCUGUCACUUAUAGAUGGAUCCGCGCCGCAUUAGCUAGUUGGUAAGGUAACGGCUUACCAAGGCAACGAUGCGUAGCCGACCUGAGAGGGUGAUCGGCCACACUGGAACUGAGACACGGUCCAGACUCCUACGGGAGGCAGCAGUAGGGAAUCUUCCGCAGUGGGCGAAAGCCUGACGGAGCAACGCCGCGUGAGUGAUGAAGGUCUUCGGAUCGUAAAACGCUGUUAUUAGGGAAGAACAAAUGUGUAAGUAACGAUGCACGUCUUGACGGUACCUAAUCAGAAAGCCACGGCUAACUACGU
rnacentral:rRNA from 1 species